GGGGAUGUAAAGGUUUCGACGGGGAUUUCAAACCUUGGUAAGCGAGCGGCGGUGCGGAACCGCCAUAAAAUCCGCAACUUUUAAAAUUAACUGACAACAAAACAGUUGCUUUAGCAGCCUGAGUGCUGCUCGUUCCUGCACGGAGUACCUCGGCUGUGUAAGGGGCGUCGAUUAGAGGUAAAUGUGAACAGGGGAGCGCUCCGAACCCUGUCACAGCUUAGGAGCUGCCAAAGUGCAUAGCCUGUUGAUGGGCGAUGCACCGAGGGAGAUUUAAAACACCAACUGCGCUCGGAGAAACCCUUGGCAAGAUUUUUUCGGACAGGGGUUCGAUUCCCCUCAUCUCCACCA
rnacentral:tmRNA from 1 species